GCGCAGUGAGGCAGUGGCGGGGGAAGGCACCGGUGGGGCCGACUGGCGGGUUGAAGGAGGGAAGCGGGCGAGCGAAGUCCCAGUGCGCGCCGCGGCGGCACGGGUACCCUCCCCUUCCGGGCGUGAGGCGCUGUGAGGAAAGCUGAAGCGAGCUGACUCGCACCGGCAGCGAGACGCCGCUACCGCCGCCCCAGCCCAGCCUCCGUUGGCUUCGGCGCUCCCGUCGUGGGGGCCCGGGUUCCUCAGCACACCCAGCUCGAGCAGCCCCAGAGCCUGUCCCCAGUUCUUCGGAAGCCCCGGCGCCAGCCCGGGCCCUUGGCGGGGAGGAUGACGGAGCUGCAGUCGGCACUGCUACUGCGAAGACAGCUGGCAGAAAUGGAAAUGUUUUGGACAUCAGGUAGCAUUUUGCUAAUGGAUCCAGAACUCAACAAAAACCCAGUGGAAGGCUUUUCAGCAGGUUUAAUAGAUGACAAUGAUCUCUACCGAUGGGAAGUCCUUAUUAUUGGUCCUCCAGAUACACUUUAUGAAGGUGGUGUUUUUAAGGCUCAUCUCACUUUCCCAAAAGAUUAUCCCCUUCGGCCUCCUAAAAUGAAAUUCAUUACAGAAAUCUGGCACCCAAAUGUUGAUAAAAAUGGUGAUGUAUGCAUUUCUAUUCUUCAUGAGCCCGGGGAAGAUAAAUAUGGUUAUGAAAAGCCCGAGGAACGCUGGCUGCCUAUUCACACCGUGGAAACCAUCAUGAUUAGUGUCAUUUCUAUGCUGGCAGACCCUAAUGGAGACUCACCUGCUAAUGUUGACGCUGCGAAAGAAUGGAGGGAAGACAGAAAUGGAGAAUUCAAAAGGAAAGUUGCCCGCUGUGUAAGAAAAAGCCAAGAGACUGCUUUUGAGUGACAUUUAUUCAACAGCUGUAACUUCACUUAUUUCAGGUAAGAUUAUGAAGAAAAGUGCAGACUCUACUGAACCUGCUUCAAGGAUGCAUCCACCUCACUCCCACUAAUACAGGUGAUCUAUAGUGAUCUUGUUGACUGAGGUAAGGAGGAGACUAAGCUAUCUCCAGUAAAUUUUAAAACAUAAGACAGAUAGGAAAAACAAAUAUCAGAACAAAAUACAGGAGAAUAUCAAGGUAGAGAAGGAUUUAUUAGGCACCAGUAACACCCAUAAAAGGAAAAAAUUUGAUAAAUUUGGCUGUAUCAAAACCAAAAACUUAAAUAUUAUGACAAGACAAAGUAAACAAAUAUAAGCGGCAAACUGGGAAAAAUUUUCUGUAAAUCUAAUAUUCAGGAUUUCUAUCUAGAAUCUACAGACUUUUGCAAAGCAAUAAGAAAAAUAUCAGCACAAAGGACAAUGAUAUGAAUAGAUAAUAAAUAGAAGCAAAAAGAAAGAUGAUUGUUGUUAUACAUGCAAAAAUUAAUUCAGCUGUAUUUGUAAGCAGAAAUACGAAGUUACAGGGGAUGACAUCAAAUCCAUCAGGUUGUCAAAAACCAAAAUGUCCAAGAAACCCAAGUGUUGGUGAAGAUUUCGGGAAGUGGUGUACCUGAAAUACUGGUCUCCAAUUGAGAAACAUGGCACUGUUUUUCCUGCACUCUACCCACCUAUUGCUGGACUUCUGUUGUAACAAGUUGGCAAACACUGGCUGGAACUGGGCUGCAAUAAAACAUGCCAGUAUCAAUGCUGACAAGAGCCUAACAAGUGCCAACUUACAGAUGAUUACGCAUUUUGAAUUCUAAUGAACUGUUUUAACCUUCAGGAAGAAUUGUAAAGACCUGUACAUAGCACAACAUGAUCCGGAUAAUAUAUAUACUGUUCAUGUACAUCCACAAACACACCUUGUACCAAAUAAUGCUUUCUUGUAGUAGAAUAAGAAUCGUGUAAAUUCUAAAAGAUUUUAGCAGGUUUUCUUUCCCUAUUCAUUGUUUCUUAUCAGUUUUAAAAGACUCCUUAAAGCAUGUCAGAUAAAAAGCAAUUAGGAUUAAAAGUUUCCAUUUAAUUUCCUUUAAACCAUUGAGGCUUCAUUAAACUCUUUUCACUUACUAAACUUUGUAUCUUCUUUGUUUUGACACACUCCCCUUUGCUUUUGUCUCUUCUGUCUGCCAGGAUCAUUUAGUUCAAAUACUGAAACACUCAACAAGCAACUACUUGAUUUUUAAUGAUGACUUCAGAGGAAUGGUCAUCACUAGGUGCUUCAUCCCUUUUGUAUUAUACUUGCACCCAUCUCUUGGAUUGGAUAUAGCAAUAACAUUUUUUUCAUUGUUGAGAGCUCUUGAAUUCAGUCAUUAUCCCCAAGACCUAAAAAGAGUUGGUUCUGAAUUCAAUUCAGAUUUAAAAUGAUUGAAAUUUACCCCAAACAAUACAAAAUUCUGAUUUGGUUUUAUUUUUGCCCUCAGUUACCUAAUGUGAAGGUUGGAUGAAUAAAGCAUGCACAGCUGCAGGCUUUCUACUUAACUUCUGGGUUUGCUAUUAAAAAUGCUGUUUACCCACACACCCUUCUCCUUAGCUCUUCAUAUUUCUUUGCCUCUAUCCUCUAUACUGCAGAUUUUUCUCACCUAUUGUACAAAGAAAUUGCGAUGUAUAUUUUCAUGUAAUUUGAUUUUGGAAUUCUGUCACCUUAUGUAGUGAGUUCUUCCAAAAUAUAAUUUUUUUCCAAUAAUUGUCAAGUUGUUGGCUUUUAUUGUAUUGAAUGAAGGUUAUAAUACUGAGUGCCAGAGAAGUGCAGUUUAGAAAAAUCUCAGGUUGUUUCCUUAUGCAAACAAAUUUAAUACUUGAAAAUCACAUGGCCAUGGCAGUAUAUGUAUUGGGUUCUGUAUAGAUUCUUAUGUGAAUCCCAAAGCAUUACAGGGAUGUAAAGGCUUUGUUAUUUGACAUAUACAGAUUUUGCCACUGACAUACUGCACUUGGAUUUUUAUUACUGUUUGAGCAUGAGUAUAUUUCAUAUCAUAAGUUUUCAAAAAUAAUUUCAGGAAAUGUAAAAUGAGCAUGUGCAGUGUUAAAGGUGUGCCCAGGUUCCUCUGUGUUUGGUGUGAGGCUGGGACUUGGAGGUAGUCUUUGGCAUAUAAGGGAUAGAACUUGAGACAGUACCUGAUGGGACAUGGUGAUUAAUUGUGAGAAUCAGUGAGAAUUGGUGCAUCUCUGCUCUGGGGGGUUUGGAGAAAUGCUUGGGCAGAAGAAUGAAAGGAUUCCUGCAAGGAGCCAGUCCUUUAUGAACUUGCAUGUCUUUUAAAGCAGAAGUAAAAUAAUUGAGGAUGUAGUCACAGUAGAGAGUGAUUUUUCUAAAUGUCAGUCUCUUCUUCACUCUGAAGCAUUAAAAAAGCCCAUAAAUGUGUAAUGGCUGAAUGUGAAAUUGUUUGAUUCAUUGCAGCCCAAUUUUCUUCAAGAACUUGGCGUGUGACUAUACUUUUUCAAAGACUCUGUAAACACUGUUGCCCCAAAGUGCCAGCAGUACUGCAUGCCUACCUGGGACUUUGAAUGCAAUCCCUUUUUAUUCUUAAAUCAGAAAUUGUUCACAUGGUGCUUGCUUGUGGCAAGAUGGAGUCUGAAUUUUGUUCUCCUAUUGCUGUAAUUCUGCUAGCAAUCUCUUGAGUUAAAACCUGGGAUUUGACUCUUCAGAGAGGAGCAAAUGACCUAGUAACUCAGGGACAACUAUUCUUGAACUUUAAGUGCCACAUUAAUGCAGUUACUUUGGUGUAACCAUGUGUUCUUUAGGGCUAGAUCAUGGGGGUAGAAGGAGAGCCAGGAACGAGUGCACGUCUCAUGACACCCCUUUCCACCUGGUGCCCUGAGUGUGCUACAUAUGGAAACACAGGCCUCGAGAGAUGUUUUGGCUUCUUUUCCUCUGUCAGAGGUGUCAUCUGUGCCUUUCCCAGUGUUCAUCUGACUGUGAAUCUAAAUGCCUCUACAUUUGAUAUUAAACCACACUCAGGUGACACUGAUCCAGGUGGCUUUUGUCCCAGCAGUGCCUCAUCAUUAGUGUGAGUCUUGUCUGCUUUAGGAAAAGGAUUUUUCUCCCUGACCUCGUGCCAACCAUCAACAACACCUGCAUAGUCUUAUGGAUUGUAGAACCGUUGCCUGUUUCCUAAAUUUAUUCCAAGUUCUUGUAAAGGCUUAUCGAUUUCAGUCUGUGCUCAUAAUAGGAUGGGUGAGCUCAGUGGCUUUCUGGCCUCUUGUGAGUUUAAAAUCCAAAUGAGGUUGGUUUUCUUGUCAUUACAAGGUAAUAUUUUUGUGAGGUUAUUCCACUAGUUCUGUGAUUACUUGGGUGUCAUAGUGUCUUUAAUGGCCUUCAUUCUUGGUUGUGAAAUUUUAUUUUAUAUGCUCAUUCACCCUCUACAGAUCUCCCCGUUUGGGGUUGUGGUGCCUGUGUAUCUUUGCCUGUCUGGUCCCCAGUUGGUGGAAUUACCUUUUGUGUACUGCCACUUCUCAGCAUCUUUGAAAUUUGACAUAAUGUUGCUUCAUUCCAGUUUUUUGUUUGUUUUUUUUUUAGUUCUGUAAUUUGUUGAUUGUAUUUAACUAUGUGAGUUCUGUUGUGAUGUUUACUGUAUUGUAAAGCACCUCGAUCAUGUGAUGGGUGCUCUAUAAAUCAAUAAAUGAUGACUUAGAGGCUGUA